rnacentral:rRNA from 1 species
GGGAAUUUUGGACAAUGGGCGAAAGCCUGAUCCAGCAAUGCCGCGUGUGUGAAGAAGGCCUUCGGGUUGUAAAGCACUUUUGUCCGGAAAGAAAUCCUCUGGGUUAAUACCUCGGGGGGAUGACGGUACCGGAAGAAUAAGCACCGGCUAACUACGUGCCAGCAGCCGCGGUAAUACGUAGGGUGCAAGCGUUAAUCGGAAUUACUGGGCGUAAAGCGUGCGCAGGCGGUUUUGUAAGACGGAUGUGAAAUCCCCGGGCUUAACCUGGGAACUGCAUUCGUGACUGCAAGGCUAGAGUAUGGCAGAGGGGGGUAGAAUUCCACGUGUAGCAGUGAAAUGCGUAGAGAUGUGGAGGAAUACCGAUGGCGAAGGCAGCCCCCUGGGCCAAUACUGACGCUCAUGCACGAAAGCGUGGGGAACAAACA